rnacentral:rRNA from 1 species
CCUACGGGUGGCUGCAGUGGGGAAUAUUGCACAAUGGGGGCAACCCUGAUGCAGCGACGCCGCGUGAAUGAAGAAGUCUUUCGGUAUGUAAAACUCUAUCAGCAGGGGAGAAAAUGACGGUACCUGAUUCAGAAGCCCCGGCUAACUACGUUCCAGCAGCCGCGGUAAUACGUAGGGGGCCAGCGUUAUCCGGAUUUACUGGGUGUAAAGGGAGCGUAGACGGCAGCGCAAGUCUGAAGUGAAAUGCCGGGGCUUAACCCCGGAACUGCUUUGGAAACUGUGCAGCUAGAGUGCAGGAGAGGUAAGUGGAAUUCCUAGUGUAGCGGUGAAAUGCGUAGAUAUUAGGAGGAACACCAGUGGCGAAGGCGGCUUACUGGACUGUAACUGACGUUGAGGCUCGAAAGCGUGGGUAGCAAACAGGAUUAGAUACCCCGGUAGUC